rnacentral:tRNA from 1 species
GAGAAAGUUACAAGAACUGCUAAUUCUUGACCCCAUGCUUAAAAUCAUGGCUUUCUUA